GGGGAUGUAAUGGUUUCGACAUUACACCAGAAAAAUAGAUAGCAGGUAGUGGAUUCUCGUUGGCCACUUAAAAAAACGGGAAACUUAAAUAUAAACGCUGAUAAUAGAGAAUUAGCAUUAGCUGCCUAAUUGUGGCUACGCUUUACUAAAUAUCCCCACAUAUUUGGAUAAAGUGUCAUAUUAGUGGGAAACAAAGCUGUUUUAUCUUUCAAAACAGUGGGUAUUUAAGAAAGAUAUAUUUUUAUAAAACCUGUUUGUUGGUGCUGUAAAAAUGAACAUAAAAAACAAACUAAACUUGUAGAAGUCUGUUUUGAAAGUGUUAUGGACAGGAGUUCGACUCUCCUCAUCUCCACCA
rnacentral:tmRNA from 1 species